rnacentral:lncRNA from 1 species
AGUUCGGCCCAAUGGCGGCACCGCUGCUUCACACGUUGUUUGUCGGGAGAUGCGGCCGCUUCGUCCUCUGCAGUCAAGACGCUGGGCGCGUCGAGGACUGGGAUUUCAAAUAUGCGUGCAUUAGAGAAUGAUUUUUUCAAUUCUCCCCCAAGAAAAACUGUUCGGUUUGGUGGAACUGUGACAGAAGUCUUGCUGAAGUACAAAAAGGGUGAAACAAAUGACUUUGAGUUGUUGAAGAACCAGCUGUUAGAUCCAGACAUAAAGGAAUGUUACGUUCAUAACUUACUAAGGAUUAGUGUAUAUUUUCCAACCUUGAGGCAUGAAAUUCUGGAGCUUAUUAUUGAAAAACUACUCAAGCUGGAUGUGAAUGCAUCCCGGCAGGGUAUUGAAGAUGCUGAAGAAACAGCAAAUCAAACUUGUGGUGGGACAGAUUCCACGGAAGGAUUGUUUAAUAUGGGAUUCGCAGAGGCAUUUUUGGAACAUCUUUGGAAAAACUUGCAGGAUCCAAGUAAUCCUGCCAUCAUCAGGCAGGCUGCUGGAAAUUAUAUUGGAAGCUUUUUGGCAAGAGCUAAAUUUAUUUCUCUUAUUACUGUAAAACCAUGCCUAGAUCUUUUGGUUAACUGGCUGCACAUAUACCUUAAUAACCAGGAUUCGGGAACAAAGGCAUUCUGCGAUGUUGCUCUCCAUGGACCAUUUUACUCAGCCUGCCAAGCUGUGUUCUACACCUUUGUUUUUAGACACAAGCAGCUUUUGAGCGGAAACCUGAAAGAAGGUUUGCAGUAUCCUCAGAGUCUGAAUUUUGAGCGGAUAGUGAUGAGCCAGCUAAAUCCCCUGAAGAUUUGCCUGCCCUCAGUGGUUAACUUUUUUGCUGCAAUCACAAAGAUGAAGACUUGUGGAUAUGGAUGGUGGUGAUGGUUGCACAACAAUAUCAAUUUAUUUUAUACCACUGAACCGUGCACUUCAAAAUGGUUAAGAUGGUAAGUUUUAUGUUGUGUAUUUUACCAUAAUAAAAAAAAUUGUAGAGGGAAAAACA